UACAGAGGUCCCAAGCGUUGUUCGGAUUCACUGGGCGUAAAGGGUGCGUAGGUGGUCGGGUAAGUCUGAGGUGAAAUCUCCGAGCUCAACUCGGAAACUGCCUUGGAUACUAUCCGGCUUGAGGGUUGGAGGGGGGACUGGAAUUCUCGGUGUAGCAGUGAAAUGCGUAGAUAUCGAGAGGAACACCAGUGGCGAAGGCGAGUCCCUGGACAACUCCUGACGCUGAGGCACGAAAGCUAGGGGAGCAAACAGGG
rnacentral:rRNA from 1 species